rnacentral:tRNA from 1 species
GGAAGUAUUGAGCAAUUGGUUGGCUCGCCAGACUGUAAAUCUGGUCUCUUCGGAGCUUGUAGGUUCGAGUCCUACUACUUCCACUA